UGGGGAAUAUUGGACAAUGGGGGGAACCCUGAUCCAGCCAUGCCGCGUGUGUGAAGAAGGCCUUAUGGUUGUAAAGCACUUUAAGCGAGGAGGAGGGUACUGGUAUUAAUACUACCAGGUACUGGACGUUACUCGCAGAAUAAGCACCGGCUAACUCUGUGCCAGCAGCCGCGGUAAUACAGAGGGUGCGAGCGUUAAUCGGAUUUACUGGGCGUAAAGCGUGCGUAGGCGGCUAAUUGAGUCGGAUGUGAAAUCCCCGAGCUUAACUUGGGAAUUGCAUUCGAUACUGGUUAGCUAGAGUGUGGGAGAGGAUGGUAGGAUUCCAGGUGUAGCGGUGAAAUGCGUAGAGAUCUGGAGGAAUACCGAUGGCGAAGGCAGCCAUCUGGCCUAACACUGACGCUGAGGUACGAAAGCAUGGGGAGCAAACAGG
rnacentral:rRNA from 1 species